CCGCGCCCGGGCCUCUGGCGCGGAGGACCCGGGGACGCAGCUGCAGGGUCGGCACGGGCGGCAAGAACGGAUCUGCCUUCGCUUCCCCUGUCCGCUGAGGGUCAGGGGGGACCUGCUGGAAUGGGUCUCAGGAUCAAGAUGAUACCCAGAAAAACAAGGAUUUUGUGCCUACCUUUGAUGUGUUUGAAACACUGACCUGUACUUUUAUAUAUAUGGGAAGCACUUCACCGUGAAUUGAAACACACAGUCUAAUUCCCAUACAUCAGAUUGCUGUUAAUAAUGGCAUAGAGUGUGAGAAAUUCUAAUUGCUCCCAUCUGCUGAGUGACUGAUCGCUGGCAUUCACUGAUCACUCAGGCUAGGUGCUAAAGUGACCAACAAGCACAGAUGUCUCAAGUGCUUUUCUGAUUUGGCAUCUCUCUGAUUUUCCUAGUAACUUGAUCAAGGUGGGUAUAUGCCAACUGCCAGAAUUUAAGUGAAUUGACAAGUUACCUUCCAAACAAGUAAAAUAACCCAUAACUUA